rnacentral:rRNA from 1 species
UACAGUGACUGCAAGCGUUAUUCGGAUUCACUGGGCGUAAAGGGUGCGCAGGCGGCCAAGUGUGUGAGGCGUGAAAGCCCGGGGCUUAACCCCGGAAUUGCACCUCAAACUACUCGGCUAGAGCAUUGGAGAGGGUAGCAGAAUUCAUGGUGUAGCAGUGAAAUGCGUAGAUAUCAUGAGGAAUACCAGAGGCGAAGGCGGCUACCUGGACAAUUGCUGACGCUCAGGCACGAAAGCGUGGGGGGCAAAAGGG